rnacentral:rRNA from 1 species
CCUACGGGUGGCUGCAGUGAGGAAUAUUGGUCAAUGGCCGAGAGGCUGAACCAGCCAAGUCGCGUGAGGGCAGAAUGUCCUCUGGUUUUUAAACCUCUUUUGUCAGGGAGCAAAGUCCCCCACGUGUGGGUGUUUGAGAGUACCUUAAGAAAAAGCAUCGGCUAACUCCGUGCCAGCAGCCGCGGUAAUACGGAGGAUGCGCGCGUUAUCCGGAUUUAUUGGGUUUAAAGGGUGCGUAGGCGGGUUAUCAAGUCAGCGGUAAAAUCGUGGAGCUCAACUCCAUCCAGCCGGUGAAACUGAUGAUCGUGAGUGGGCAAGAGGUAUGCGGAAUGCGUGGUGUAGCGGUGAAAUGCAUAGAUAUCACGAAGAACUCCGAUUGCGAAGGCAGCAUACCGGAGCAAGACUGACGCUGAAGCACGAAAGCGUGGGGAUCGAACAGGAUUAGAUACCCCGGUAGUC